rnacentral:misc_RNA from 1 species
CGAGUGAGAGAAUCUGGGAAAGGCUGUGAUCUUAGCGACGACAUUUCUUUAUAGAGGACGUGGGGCCUUAGUUGUUCAUUGGUCCCGACAUUCCCUCCCUUCUUCUUUUUUUUUUCUUUAAAGAUUCUUUUUCUCUUCUCGAAUGGGAGAAUGAGACUGGAACUCUCACUUCCUUUCUCGAUCGGGAAAGCAAUAACCUUCUUCAUUUACCGGACGGUAGCUAGAUCGAGAGCCGUGAAUCGCUUUUCAUUUCAAUUCUUCGAUUGUCAAUUGCCGAAAAAAUUACAUAACAAAUUAUACCACUCUUUAGAAUAACAAAAAUAAAAAAUUACUAUAAUAUGAAAAUUACUUCCGUAUCGACUUGAGUAAUUUUAUCCGGAUAUCUUUCCGGCACACGGGUUCGAUUCCCGGUCGUGACAAGAUCAGUCUUUCACUCAAUGACGAUUCCUCAUCCCUCCGAUCUUACCAAUACUCUUUGAAACCUCCUUUCUUGUAUACAACCUCCGGUCUUGCCAAUGAGCUUGUCAACCGAGUCUCAGUGCUAUCACUUGGAUAUUGAACGAAUCUACUCUCUUUAAACAGAUUCAGUACUUGCUUCCGGGGAACAAGACCCUACUUCGUCCUAAGGCUCUUCCAUCUAUCCUAUUAUAGGUGUUGCCCCUGUCCUGUCUCUGUAAUCGAUCGAAGGCAUUAUUCUAAAGAUCUACGUUGGACCCGGGAUUCAUUCUUAUUCUCCCGUUAUAAUAAUAAGAAAGGGGCAAGGGCCACUGGACUUUCUGCUGCGAACAAAGUCUCGGCAACAGGAAUGAAGCUUUUUUGCACCUGCACAGACUGGUUGCAUACGAGGAAUUUGCACACCCAAUAGAAAGACAUUUCCUCCUGGGGAGUAAUUUCCUCUGUGGACCUUUUCUCUUGUUUUAUGAAUAUGCUAUAAUAGUUGGGCCAGGCCAUUGAUAGAUGUUCUUUACGUGGGGAGGAUAUAAGUUUCAAGUGCAGAUACUUAAUUUCCAAUGGAUAAUUUAGCCUUAAAAUGGUUCCUAUUGACCUUGUUGCAAGCAUGGUAUGGCAUUUUUCAUAUGUAUUGGCAUUUCAUGAUCACAUGAUCCCAUUGUACUAUUAUGUAUUGAAAGACUAUUGGAUCCAUCGGACUCAGUAAGAUUUAGUGAUCACUUGCUUGCCUUAACUCUUAACUCAUAAAUAAGGUAGGCCCUUCGGGGAGGUGUUUCAACUGCCUGGCUGGGAUUUAGCUAAUGCCCUUUCCCGGAAUUCUAGUUUUCAUUUCCUAUCCCAAUCCUGCCUUUUAAACGCACUAUCAACUGGCAGUAAGUGAAGCUAUAGCAGUGAAUUUACUGGCAUUUUAGGAUUCGCUAAAGGCAGACAAGAUCUCUUCUCUUCG